rnacentral:misc_RNA from 1 species
GUUCAAUGAAGGCCAGAAGUCUUUUUACUUUAAUGAAUUUGUCCUACAGAGUCGACAAGAACAUAUCUAACAUUUCUGCAUGAUAGUUCUCCAAAACAGCAUCAAUGCAAAACAGGUAACAUAUCAAAUGAGAAUAUGAGCAUUGUAAAGACUGAAAAUCACAUAAGUACUAGACUUGCCAAAUCUUCUAUUCCAAAUAUUUUAUAUUUAGGAGGCAGCAACCAUCCUUAGUCCAUGCCUCUUCAACAUCGCAGCAUGCUUGCGUCCAGUGAGAUGAUAAUUGUAUACAUUCUCACUAUUGCAAACCACAUUACAAAUUGCACAUACUCUGACUGCCUCCGCCGCUGCCCCACCUUCGACAACUUUUCUUCUCUUUGUCUCCAAAUCUUCUGCUGGUGCAGCUGCUUUCUUCUUACCCCGUUGUCCGUUGCCAACUUUGCCCUUAUUAGGAUCUUCUUGUGGCCCAAUAAUUAGAUUACGUGAAACUGAUGAAGUACUGGGGCCAGCAGCAGCCACUUGUAAUUUCUCCAAGUUUUUCCUGUGUUUCUUUCCCAAUUUAUGCUUUUCAAGUACUUCCUUGCUGUUACAGUCUACCUUGCAAACUUCACAAUAUGCAGAUUGAACAACCUUUGUUUUCUUUUGGCGUUUCUUCAGAGUUCCAUUUCCCUGAAGCUGAAAUGCCAAGUUAGCCCACACAAUGGACUCUGGAUGUGCCAACUGUUCUGUCAGAUACAAGAGUAAUUUAUGAAUAAUAUAGAUUCUACUAAGAAGACCAAAAUGAAAAAGAGCAAAUAGAUACAAAAGUACUAAUUUUUGACAGCCACCAAUCUGGUGCUCAAUUUCAACAUGUGCAUUAGCACAAGAAGUGAGGCAUGCAUCCACUAAUACCAAAAUCACUAGAACAAUAAUAACUACAUCACCCCCAAACAGAACUUGAUUGAUCUAAUUCUAGAUCACAAAUCAAUUUGAAGUCAGCUACAUGGAUCACCUUCUUCCCAUUAGCUCUCUUGAGGGCAGAACUUUGUAUUAGCCAUCUCAAUAUUAUGUCAGUUUCUACCACUUCAGUCAAUAUAAUCUCCAGUCCACUUCAUCUAUUACUACCUGAACCCACUGUUUUUCCCAAAUUGGGCCCUCUGUGGGUUUAUGUUGGAUUAACUAACCCACUGAGAAAGCCCUCCCGUUGCUUAUUCUCGCCAUAAUAUGUCCUAUGGAUUGAUGCAUUUCUUAUCCAGCUAUUCCUGUGUGCUCAUACAUCCAUAUCACCUCCCAAAGACUACUCAUAAUGGAAGACCUUCCACAAUACUUUAGUUACACGGGAAAAUAAAUAAUUCCAAUUAAAAGAUAUGAAAAUGCAGAAUUAGUUAGGAAGUGACAUUUCUAGUUCACUGGAAGCCCAUCUAUUGCUUUUGGGUUAAAUAGUUUAGGAUAAACCAUAUCAAAAUUGCAUCCAUGGGUGCAACAAAAUUCCAAGUGCACAUUUGAGAUUUUUAUUAUAAAAUUAUGAGAAUACUGAAGGCAAAACUGCCUGCCAUGCAAUGGUGUUCUUACUGCAUUUGAAACCAGUUUAUGAGCCUAGGGAUGUAGUAAGAACAUCAUUGCCAAAUUAUGGAACUCAGAAUGUUUAGCAAGGAUAGAAACCGGUAUAAACUUAAAAUGACAUGGAAAUGGAAUUCUUAUUAUUCUUCACUGAUGGCAUCAUUAGAAGGGAAAAUAACAUAUUACGUAAGAUAGUAUUCUUCUAUUUAAGUUCAUUAUUGGAUUCUAUAACUGUUUGUAUUCAUCACUGUAUAUUAAUAAUAAGUAAAAUCAUAAAAUUAGGCAACAGAUGACUAGAGUUGUCCAAAAGAUAUAUUUGAAGGAUGCCACUUGCUUUCUGUGGCGCUAUAUUUAUUAUUUACUAUGGGUUAGUACCAUAUCCUCAACAACUCCUAGACCUAGACCUUUUACAUUGAAAACUCUCACCACAAGGAAAUGUUACUAAACAUUAGGCAUUAGAAAAGUUAAGUGUAUAAAGAUUGCCAAAUCACUUAGGCUACAUUUGGUAGGGCUUAAUCAAUGGAAUGAAAUAUAAUUAAAUAUUUUAUUAAAUUCACUAGAAUAUUUGAUUAAUUUAUUUUACAUUAUGCCCUACCAAACAUUCCUUAGUGGCAUCUUUGCUUAAUUGCUCGCCCAGCACAACAGCACAAGAAAGAAACCCAAGCUGAUACGAGGCUGGUAAUGCAUAAAAAGGUCACCGUUGGUCCAAUUCUGGUGAAGUUACUGGAAUAUUCUGGCACGGACAGAAUCUCCGGUGAUAUACUUACUAAAUAUUACUGUUUCAUUCCACGGUUUUCAUUUCUCAAAUACAAAUAACCAACACUCAAUUCUAUCAAAUAUUCAAUCACCCAACAAGUAUUUUAUAUUAAAAAAAAG